rnacentral:rRNA from 1 species
AGCGAACGCUGGCGGCAGGCUUAACACAUGCAAGUCGAGCGGGCACCUUGCGGUUUGUCCGCGGCGGACGGGUGAGUAACGCGUGGGAACGUGGCAUCUGGCUCGGUAUAACGGAGGGACACUUGAACAAAUACGGGAUUAGCCCUUACGUGGAGAGGCUUGCUGUGGGAGGUUCGGGGCCCGUCUGAUUAGCUAGUUGGUGAGGUAACGGCUCACCAUGGGGACGAUAAGGAGCUGGUCUGGGAGGAUGAUCAGCCACACUGGGACUGAGACACGGCCCAGACUCCUACGGGAGGCAGCAGUGGGGAAUAUUGGACAAUGGGCGCAAGCCUGAUCCAGCCAUGCCGCGUGAGUGAUGAAGGCCUUAGGGUUGUAAAGCUAUUUUAUCCGGGACGAUAAUGACGGUACCGGAGGAAUAAGCCCCGGCUAACUUCGUG